CUCAACUUCUAUGUCUGUUUUGUUUACUUCCAAUUUCUUUCCUUGAUUAUUUUACCAACCAAGUCAUUCAUCAUAAAUUUAAACAGAUAGAAAUCUUCAAAAAUACAAGAUGUUUAGAAAUCUAUGUAGUGUUUCAAAGACCACAGUUUAUUGUGCAUCAUAUCGAAGAAAUUUCAAGAAUUUCGGACACAAAAAACAACCAACUCCCCCAAUUACGAUGUGGUGGACGGGAUUCCUAACAUUCACCUUUAUAGGAAUGGCAAUAGAAUGGAAAAGAGUUGCAAAGUUUUUUCUAGGAGAUGCAGCCGAGGAGGAGAGUGUACCUAUAACACCAAGCACCCUCUAUGGCUCCCGAGGGACAGAUUUGUGAAGUUAUGAACAAGUGUAUAGUUGUUAUUCAAAAUAAAUAUUAUAAAUUAUUGUCAAGUUUUAGAUAUAUUAGGUUAAUUAUUUAUUGUUAGUCCUAAGAGAUUAUGUUGUUUAGUAGCCAAAGUGUAAGUCAACUUAGUAAAUAAAUUCAAUUUUUACACACCA